rnacentral:tRNA from 1 species
GAGGAUGUAGCUCAGUAGAGCAUUUGCUUAGCAUGCACAAGGUCCUGGGUUCAAUGUCCAGUACUCUCU